AAGAUCGAAAUGUAAAAUCAAUUUCCGUGACGUAAUACGGACACGGCACGUGUCACCAUCGAUUUAGGAUCCUACUGUGAAAAGUGGACAGUAUCGGAAAAAUGACGUUGGAUGUUAAAAAUCCAAAACAUGGAAGAAACAUAACGGCAUUUAAUUAAACUUUCUCGGGAAAAAGAUCGUUUUAAUUUUCGAGAAGGAAUAUUAAGGAAUAGUUUGUCUCGAAUUGCACAUAUCUUGAGGAUCUCAAACUCGGAAAGAGGGAUCCAGUCGUAAUUCACUCAACGUGCGUAGUUCGAGAGGAUCAAGAAAAACUUCUCGCCCACCGUCGUCGGAAUUGGAUCGGAACUUCUUACUUGCCACACAGAUGUAAGUUUCUUGCGGAGGGCAAAAAGUUAGAACGAGACGGCAAUUCAAAGAGUCGGUGUAAUCUUCGUUCUCGCCGAUCAAAGUCGAGAACCUCACCUACCCCUUUUCUGCAACUGCAAAUGAUAUAUUAGAUUAUUAUAGCAUUUUUCUUGCUAUUUACUUUUUAGAACAU